rnacentral:rRNA from 1 species
UAGGGAAUCUUCCGCAAUGGACGCAAGUCUGACGGAGCAACGCCGCGUGAGUGAAGAAGGAUUUCGGUUCGUAAAACUCUGUUGUUAGAGAAGAACAGCGCAUAGAGUAACUGUUAUGCGUGUGAGGGUAUCUAACCAGAAAGCCACGGCUAACUACGUGCCAGCAGCCGCGGUAAUACGUAGGUGGCAAGCGUUUUCUGGAUUUAUUGGGCGUAAAGCGAGCGCAGGCGGUCAAUUAAGUCUGAUGUGAAAGGCAGUGGCUUAACCGUGGAGGGUCAUUGGAAACUGGUUGACUAUGGUGCAGAAGAGGAGAGUGGAACUCCAUGUGUAGCGGUGAAAUGCGUAGAUAUAUGGAGGAACACAAGUGGCGAAGGCGACUCUCUGGUCUGUAACUGACGCUGAGGCUCGAAAGCGUGGGUAGCAAACAGG